rnacentral:misc_RNA from 1 species
AACGCACCUUGCGCUCCUUGGUAUUCCGAGGAGCAUGCCUGUUUGAGUGUCGUGAAAUUCUCAACCUAUCUGGCUUUUUAUAAGUCGGGUUAGGCUUGGAUCUUGGAGGUUGCUGGUUUCUCAGAAGUCAGCUCUUCUAAAAUAUAUUAGCAAAGUCUUUGCUGAUCGCCUUUGGUAUGAUAAUUAUCUAUACCAUCGACAUUAGCUUCCGUUAAUGGAAAAAGGAUAUUGCUUCUAAUAGUCUGUAUAGACAACUUGACAAUUUGACCUCAAAUCAGGUAGGACUACCCGCUGAACUUAA